rnacentral:lncRNA from 1 species
GGCAGCCAGCCCAAACCUGGUGACCUGGAGAACUGCAAGGGGAGAGCUGAUCCUCACUGACCUCUUCUCCCUCUACCUGGGGCAGGAAGUGAUGGCUGAUUGAUAUAGAAGUCUUUAGAGCUCCCCAGGAGGAAGCAAAGCAGACAUGUUUCUCAACAAUGUAACAAUUUUCCUCUGUGUACUCAAUCAUUUGUAGUAGAUUAUGACUACUUCCCUCCCGAUGGUCUGGAGGAGAAACUUUCCCACCAGGCUUACACUUCAAAAAUCACUUCCCCAGGCCUUCCCCCACCCCAACCCCUUGGAGAAAUUUCCCCUCUGGGUAGGUACACACAGCUGGGGAGGCUGGUGCACCAGCCCUCCAAGAUGGCUCAGUGUGUGUUCAGUCUGUGAAGGCACUGAAGGGGGAAUGGAGGGGGAGUAGGUUGGGGCCCUUACCCCAGCCUUAGAUGAUACUUCAGGGGGUUUCCCUCAGCUCAUUAGAGAGGAGUAAGCAGACCUGAGAGUCUGUCUCUUUGGUUCCCAAGAUAAAGAGGCUCUUAAGCCUCAAAGCACUUCUGUUUUCCUAGCCUGGCUGACCCUCCGGCCUUUGUUUAAGCCCCUCCUGAACAUAGCUGCCCAACUAGGGCUUCUUGCUUGGUGAGAGCUUUGGCCACCUUCUUCUGGGUGCUGAGCUUUGAUUCCUGGCAACAAUUUCUAUCCUGGAGUUUCUGUCUAAGCAGGGGAAAAGAAGAGGUAGAGGUUGGCUUGGGUAGAGCCUCUAGAAUUUAAAAAAGUUGGUUGCUAGGUAUUGAAGCUCAGCACCCAGAGUUCCUGGCUGACACCUUUGCCCUAUACUAAGUGGGAGGAGAAGAUUCAGUGGAAAGGAGCCCUGUUGUAGAGGUGGGGAAGCCAGAGUGCAGACCUUGGAAGAGCUCACUGUUAGAAUGGGUAGACACAUAAACAGCUGGAGAGCAUGCCCUCUGCCCCUUGGCAAGGGCCUCAUGGGGGUGGGUCUUCCUGUGCAGGUGGAGGGAGGAGAAUCUCUAAGUGACCUACAGUGUUAGGUCGCUCCUCCCACUGCUGGCCCUGGAGGAAUUUUCGUGACCUGAUGGGCCCACAGUAAUCCUGCAGCAGUGAUACUGAUAUUUCUCCCAUUCCUCUGGGGGAAGUGAAGUCACCUUCUGGGCCUUUACUGCCAAAUAUAUGUCAGCUGGUUAGAACUGAGUAGAUCUGGGUGCAAUUCAGAUGCAUAGGCUUAUCUUUUUUAGGUGGCCCACGUGAAGAUUCUAGAGAUUAACAUUCAAGUUAUCAAGCCUUAAUCUUAGUUUAGAAAGAUAGCAUCUUCAAAUAGGCCUUUGCUUUGCUGAAGACAAUAGCAAAGCUGCUUUUCCUCUUGAGAUGGAGUUUCACUGUGCCACCUGGGCUAGCCUCAUGCUCCUGAGCUCCAGUAAUCUCCCACCUCAGAGUCCCAAGUAGCUGGGACUAUAGGCAUGUGCCACUGUGCCUGGCUCUGUGACAUUGCUUUUUGAAAUUAUCUGUGGGUAUGAUUUUCAAGGCAUUGCCCACUGAUAUUUUUUGUGUAUAAAAAAUUAGAGAAAUAAAUUAAAAAAACAUAUACAAGAUACAAACCAAUUUUUUUUAUUAUUAGAUUCAGCAAAUUAGAUUCAGAAAAUUACUCUGUCAAACAGUUAUGGAUCUUUCUAAAUGUUAUUCUCAGUUGCUAUGCACAUUUUGUUGUGGAAUGUAACAAAUAGUUUUGAACCUGUGACUUUACUUGAGAAGCACUGGUACAGACUGUAAACUGGAGUUUUAAGGGCUGAAUUUAGCUCUCAUUUGUGUUUAGGUUGACCUGAUCUGUUUUUUAAAAAUUGGAUUAAAAAUCCAGAGGUUUCACAAAAAAGAAAAAAAAAUCCAGCUUUUUCUGAAAAGUAAAAAGCUUCAAACAAUGCAAGCCACAUCUACAACUGGGAGGAACUGAAAAGUAGCUACCCUUUUAAGCUUAGCUUUCAGCCUUCUAUGGGCCCCAGAUUCCACCUCUUCCUCUUUUCUUAUUCCUAAGCAGGCUCACUCAUUUGAAACCAAUGCUUCGCUGUAAAAGGUGUUUAAAUCUGUGUAUUCCUAUGCAGAAUAUUCCUUACAGUGAACUUUUAGGUCAUUUUCUUAGCCUUUCCAGAGGGAAAAUUCACUCUCCAAAGGUCCAUGGAACCUCUCCAGGGCUGUGUGGCUCUGAGACCAGAGGCUGAGGUGUUAGCACAGAGUUGUUGUCACUCAUUGGGUGCCCUCAAAACUCUCUAGAUGAGUGGAUCCUGCAUUUCAAAUCUCUAUGGGUAUUUGUGUGUGUGUGUGUAAAUUUGCAUCUUUAGGUGCACGUAAGAUGUUAUUUUGAUGAAUAUUAAAAUUCAUUUAAUAAUAUCUAAGUGUUACUGAAUGCCUACCAGUUUUUUGUAACUUGGUUC